GUGGGAAGGAAGACGGGGACGGGAGGGUGCUGGCAGCUUUUUGUGACCCCACGGGGAUGAGACCCCAUCACACGAGGUCCAAGGGCAGGACGGGAGAGGGACUUGCACCGUGGUGCUGCCCUUCAGGAGCGAUGCCGCAAGCACCGGCGGCGUGGUGCUUGCACCGCUGACCGAAAGGAGCUUUCUCAGGACAUUUUGCCCCAA